UACGGGGGGGGCAAGCGUUGUUCGGAAUUACUGGGCGUAAAGGGUUUGUAGGUGGCCCGCUAAGUCACACGUGAAAUCCCUCGGCUUAACCGGGGAACUGCGUCUGAUACUGGUUGGCUUGAGUUUGGGAGAGGAAUGCGGAAUUCCAGGUGUAGCGGUGAAAUGCGUAGAUAUCUGGAGGAACACCGGUGGCGAAGGCGGCAUCCUGGACCAACACUGACGCUGAGGAGCGAAAGCCAGGGGAGCAAACGGG
rnacentral:rRNA from 1 species